rnacentral:lncRNA from 1 species
UUUCAGUGUUGUUUAGUGUAUUCACAGGGUUGCAGAACCAUCACUGCUGUCUUAUUUUAUUUUUUUGGUACUUUUUGGUAGAGACAGGGUUUUGCCACGUUGGCCAGGCUAGUCUCAAACUCCUGACCUCAAAUCAUCUGCCUGCCUCGGCCUCCCAAAGUGCUGGGAUUACAGGCAGCUAUUCCCAACCCCAGAACCUUUGCUGUCUUGGAACAGAUCACCACUGCAAGAGGGGAAGUUGCUACUGUGAUGAAUUCUGCCAUGUGGUACCAGACUGCUACCCAGACCACAGUGUCCUCUGCAACCCUCGUAACUCACAUACAGGCCUGAUUCCACCUACAGCAAAGCUGGAUGCUAUGGUUGGCAGAGGCAAACCCUUUGCCUGCACUUCAGGCCAAAGCCGGGAUGUGGCCUAGAUGGUUCCUAAGGUCCCUGACAAUCCUGAGAUCUUGCAUCUUGUCUAUUUCAGGUCAAAGGUGCCUACAUGUUCCUUCUAGCUUUGUUUCCCUGAUGUUCCUUGCCACCUGCUACUCCUCUCUGAGCUACUUUUCCAGGUUCCACAGGGAGAGGUUCAGCUGUCCGUGGUAGACAUGAGGGUAGAGAAUGAGGUGGUUGGGUUCCACUUACCUUUCUAUCAUCUUGCAGUAUGGAUGUCUCUUGACUGGUACCAUGUAGACUUUUGAGGGCACACAGGAGUCUGCAGAGAGAUACUGGGGACAUUGAGUAGCAGCGGUGGGGUUGGGAGGCAGAAAUGAGGACAGGAACAUUUACCUUGUGUUUCUCUCAGCUUCUCAGAUGACCAAGAUGGUGCUGCAGAUGGUGCUGAGGAUGGAGAACCCACCAAGCCC